rnacentral:lncRNA from 1 species
UGGUGGUCGUCACGUAUAGGCUGGAUGAGUGGGAGAGGAUAAGAAGCGCGUUCGUAAGUGUGAGGAGUGUGCGCUGGUUUUUUCUAUAUAUGAAUGUGGAAGCCCAGUCGCAUAUAUUAAGAUAGAAAGGACAAAAGUGUCCGUUUGGUCAACGCUUUCCAUCGAGCCAAAAGAGGCUUUUUCCACAGAAUGUGCACAUUAACCAAUUUAUUCUUUAUGCUAACACCAAUACAUUUAUCAUCGAUUUCGCACAACAGACACCCAGCUUGUAGCUAAUAUUUUUACCCCAUUCAUCGGUCACCCACCUGUGUCUGCAGAUGCAGCCUCCUCGCGGGCUACCGAUUGUUGGGCGUUUAGGGUUUAAAAAAACACACGCACCAAAAACA